AAAAUAAAAAUAACCUAAAAAUGUAUAGAAAAGUAAGUAUUAAAUUAUCACAACUUACUAAAAUAUGUUUUUAAGUAAAUGCUGUAAAAAAAAUUAAAAGUUAGUUAACUAAAUAACUAAUUCUUGCCUUAAACUGCCACAUGUCUUUCUCUUGUGCUGCCAUUUGGCUUAAUUAUAGGCUAGACUUUCUUCCUAUUAAAUAUACUUGCCCGGGCCCAACACGAACACGAACACAAGGUCAGUACAAUAUGUUGUACUCAUAAGUAAAGCAGAGAAAUUUAUUAUGAUCAAGUUAAGUAUGUUUCGGUUGAGCUGUAGUAGGGCAUAAAGUAUCUCUAUUGUGUUCCCCAACAAUUAUACAUACGGAUUUACAUCUAGAGCAUCGUAAGCGCUGUUGAAUCUUGUGUGCUCACAUCCUAUUGAAUAUCAGAUGAAGCUCAAAGUAAGUUCUACAGAAAACUAAUAAAUUUUUCUAAUCAGUUGAAAAAAUGAGUUAGUUACCUGAAAUUGUAGAUGCGGCGAAUGAGAUAGUAACCAGCAUAUUAUACUGUGAGAUUGAACUCUGUUGUAAGUUGGAUAACAAGUUAAGAACACACUAUGAGUAACAAAUUGGUAAACUUAUUUAAAAUGUGUUAAAUAAAAUUGGAGUUUCAUUUAAGAAUUGAAAUAAAAAAUCUUUCGUUACAAUUCUAAAUUCACAUAUUGCACUUACAUAACUGGGGAAAAACUAAAUAAGAAAGAGAAGCACUAUAAUACACCAGAACUAUAUGGAGUGGAGCAAUGCAUUCAAAUUUAACAGUUAAGAAAUAAGGCUUUAUUGUCAAAGAAAGUACACCAGUAAAUCUUGAAAGCAAGGUAGUACUGCAUUUACUAUGAAAAUCACAACAUGAGUCAUAAAUAUUCUAUGUUGCUGUCCAUAGAUUCUCAAAUAUGGGUUACCUUAAUCUAUGUAAUGAGAAAUAAAAAUCUAUGAUGAUGUAUACAAUGAGACCUGUUUGUAAUAACAACCUCUCAUAACCAUAUUUCAUUUCAACAAUCAAGUUUUAUGUCGAACUCGUUUAGGUUCCUCCUUCGAAAAAGUGAAUAUUAAGAUACUAAAUUAAAUCAACUCAUAUAUACAUGCAUUGUGUAUAUCUAAUAUAGUUUAAAUUUUAAUAGUGAAACUUCUCUAUUUUGAUCACGCAUUUCAGAUGUACAAUCUUUAGAGUUUUGAAAAUAAUUGAUACUAUAUAUAUUGAGAAUUAGAGAUUAUUAUUUUUCAGAAGUUCUAAGUGAAAAGUUUGUUACCUUGGAUAAGUUAAAUUGAAAACAUUUGUGUAUAGUAUAUUUACCUCUUUAAAGACAUUAGAUUAUCUGUGUCCUCGAAAUACUUACUUUUUUAUACUAAAUUUCAAGCUAAAAUAGUUUAUAGAAAGCUAAUAAGUAAAACCAAAAGGUCAUUUAUAAUUUCCUCGAGAAAAUUAAUAAAUAUAGAGCUACUAUAUUCAAACUUACAUCCAUGUAGUAAUUCAUUCUUUCAAUUCUAUCCAAAGUAUCCCGUCCUUCAGGAGGCAAUAAUGAAUCAAGAUCAAUUAAAAAGUAAAACGGAGAUUCACUCAUAUAAAAGAGGAUCAAGAAAAAAAAAAGUAUCAAAAUUUGCAAAUUCUGCUCGCAGGUAUCUAUAAAACACAAAUGUCCUACUGGCAAGAGUAAAGUCAAAUUUGUGAACUUUGGCACUCCCCCAAAAAGUAUUGAGUUCCGGCAAACAAUAUAGUCUCUUUAGCCAAACGGAAUCCUUUAAGCAUAUUAUUCAACAUAUUGAGUGCAUUAGUGUUCACCUUGAAACAAUAAUAUUGGUUCUACUUCUAUCAUAGAACUACCAAUUUAGCACACUUAAAAAAUGAAAGGUAUCGUACAGCCUCAAAAUUAGAAUUUUAGAUGACAAAUCACUGAGGUAAGAUAAAGCCAAAAAUUACAAAGAAGUGGAAAUGUAAGAGAACUUUCAAAUCUGGAGAAGUCUAAAGUCAAGAAGAAGAGGAGUUAGAAGGAAGAAAAAAAUCAAAUUCGAAGAACCAAAACCCACUGGAAAACAACGAUAAAAACGGAAUAGCUAAAGAACCAACAAAAAUGUGGGACACAAAGAAAUCACAAAAGAAUCAACAAAUCAAAAAGCCAAAGUAAAGUUAAGGAAUCAGAAUCAAAACACCAAAAAGACCCAUAAAAUUUAUGAUUACCUAAUAGGAGGUAGCUAUAAACUCCAUCAAAGUGCCAGGUUAAGAACAAGAGGAGAUGAAGAGAAAACAGAGGUUUGGAGAGAGAAAGCGGCCGACGACCUGGAGAGAAACUUUUUUGGAGACGGAGGUAUAAACUCCGUUGACCACCAUGGUGCAAAUUUGAGAGCUAGAGAAGAGGACAGAGCAAACGUUUGGAGGUGGAGCUCUUUAGCGGUGGCGUUAGGAUUGAUGGGAAAAGAUAAGGGAUCAGGUGAAUAUUCAAGUUGAUUGAAAUACCAAAAAUGGCCCUACUAUCCCCUGCUGGUCAAUUUGAAGUCUCUUGUUAAAGUCGGCAAGUAGCACGACCC
rnacentral:lncRNA from 1 species